AGUGAGCUUCCAUUGCACUGUGAAUGUAUCUGAUAAUUACAGGAAAUGAACCCAAACGCUGUAGAUUGUGGGCUACCUGCGGUGGCAUUUUGUGAGAUUAGGACAGAGCGACAGGUGAAAAAUGGACUGACUUCUGACUUGACAUCUGGGCUGAAGAACACAUGCAGGAGAAGCUGAAUAAGGUCCACAAAAACAAAGAUGUGUAUUAAAUCAUUCGAGAUCAACCAGAGGAGAAAGGAUUCAAGAAUUCCCCUCCAAAUCCACAGCAGGAGAGCAGGAGAAAGAAAAGAAUUCAUUAGGAGAUGAAGACAGAUAUCUGGAAGACGAAUGGGAAUAAAUGAAAGAAUGUAAAAGAAAAGAAGGACUCUUGGAAUGAAAGAGACAUCAUGAGAAGGGUGUGAGAAAGGUUUUGUUUAUCACACGGAGUGGGAGUAAUAUCAGGUCAAAGAGAGUUAUUAAGAGCACUUGUGGGAGUUAAACACAGUGGGUGAGAUCGACUCAUCAAUACACAAGAACAAUUUUCUCUUCUAUUGGCCUUUUACUCUUCUCUUUGUCUAUUAUAUCCAAGUUUUCGGACUUUAAAGGAGACUUAUUAUGCUCAUUCGAGGUCCACGUUCAUGUGGUUUUUGUACUAGAACACGUUGGCAUACUCUGAUGUUCAAAAUACACAAAUUUUUCCUGCAACCUCUGUAUUUCAUUCUGUUUUAGCAGCCAAUAAAGCUGCUUGGAUUGAU